ensembl:lncRNA
CCCCUCCCCGAGCCUGGUUCUGCUGGAGAUUUCUUCCUAUUAAAAAAGAAUUUCUCCUUCCCACUGUCACCAAGCGCUUGCUCAAAGGAGGUUAUUUGAUUGUUGGGGUUUCUCUUGCCUUACAACAACAGCACCUUGAGGUGACUGUUGUUGUGAUUUGGUGCUAUUUAAAUAAAACUGAAUUGAAGUUGAACUGCUUGGCAUAGUUUUGUAUCCUGUGCUGUAUUUUCCUUUCCCAGAUGAUGGCUGUAGAACGCUAGGUAUUCAUUUGCAUUGGCAUCCGACCUCAGGAUCAUCACCGACUGCAGUGCUCACAUUACCAUAGGACUCAUUUGGAUGGUCAGUGUGGCAGUGAGCUUUCACUAAGUGUUGAUGCCAAGCAAUUUAAAGCAUGACUUGCAGCAGCAAACCACCGGACUCCUGCGCAAUACUGUCACUAUAAAGGAACACAUGCCACUUUCUGGACCUCGUACUGUCUUAAUUUUUUAUUUUUUUUUUAUUUUGUGAGACUCUCUCUUAUUAUUGUUUUUGCUGCAGUUGUCAUCAAAGAUAUUUUUUGUCAUUUUUACAAUGAUAGUGAAGAGAACAGCAUCCUCAUGUAGGAUGAUCAGUCCCAUAGUGGCACCAGUGCUUUAAAAUAAUAGGUUCUUGCAUCAGUAUAGCUUUUCUUUCCAUCUGGAACCCUCAGAUUAGGCAGAUAGUCUUUCACCAUGAAUCCUACUCUGCAGUGAUGGCAGAGGUGGAAUGACUGCAGCAGAGCAGGCAUGCUGACCAGAUUCGAAAGGAAACAUGUCAAGUUGACCAGAAGAAAGAACUGGAGAUGGAUAACAUGGUGACUACACCUACACAACUAAACCGCUGACAGUCAUUAGAUGUGUGAAUGAUUUAUUUCCUUGAUUAAUGCUGUAUAUAAGGAGAAUGAUGUUAUGGCUGAAUGACAGUAAUGGACAUUCUUGGUUAAUGGGACAUAAUAAAUGAAUGAAAUUACAAAGACAGUAGAUUAUUUUAUUGCCACAGAAUCAAAUACUUCUGUUUUGUGAAAGCUACUGACAUCUAUGGAAGCUCGUUUCCAGCACAGAAAAAAGGAAAAACAAUUACCAUCACCAAGUCAAAGUUUCCAGUUAAAUUUUGACUUACGUAGAAAUAUGUAUUUGUCCUUGUUC